ensembl:lncRNA
UUGACCUAUAAGGUGUUGUUCUUAGAUUUUUCACCAGCCACCACUAGUUCAAAUGUAUGAAAGCCCAUUGCCGCCUUAGAAAAGAAGGGUUAGAAAGUCGAAAUUAUUACUUAAGAUAUGCGCAGGCUUCUUUGUUGUUUGGUAAAUCUUAUAUUUUCACGUUCAGAUCUUUUUUUCACAUUCAGACUCUUGACCCUGACGUGGCGUAGGGGGCGGGGCAUCAACGGCAUCAAAAACUUGAUUUUCAAAUGAACAAAAUCUUUUUACAGAUUCAGACUUCCAGGUUCAAUAGCGACACCUCUCUGUAACCGUAGUGAUGUUAACAACCAGCUGCAAGGAGCCUGCGCAUGCGCAUUUAUUAUGGAAUUUUUCGACUUUCUAACUCUUCUUUUUUGUGCCGGAAAUGAGCUUCCAUACAAAUGUCUGUGACUGACAGACCUUUUCAUUAAACUACGGCCCUGUCCCUUACGGCAGUGGCCCCUAAGCCACCGCGGGCCAUUUGGUAACUGGCCGCACCUCAAAGAGAAUAGAUAACAUUUAUUUUUUGUCUUUUGACUUUUUUUCCGAAAAAUGUUUUAUCUUGAAUAUUGACCAGAUUCUCUCCUAACUACGUGUGCUCAUCCCUUCAGACAUAUUUCUCCAGCGUCACAAGUGUUUACGGUUACAAUUGUCGCAGUAAAAUUUGAGGAAAUUGCACUUUCUUGUUUCUUGUUCUUCUUCUUCUUCUUCUGGGUUUGUUUCCCUAUGGUUGAAUGCACUUGUAAGUCGCUUUGGAUGAAAGCGUCAGCUAAAUGACAUGUAAUGUAAUGUAAUGUAAUGAUGUAAUGUAAUCAUGACAGCUAAAAGCAAGGAGGAUCUCCAACUAAAAUGGCCUUUGCUUUUUUAUGCGCCUGGUGUCCUGCACUCCUCCACCUGCCCAUCUCCGCCCAAUCAUUUUAGACAUCUGCUUCAUCAACGCAUCAUUCUAUCAGCAACCACCACCACCAGUGUCUGUACUCCAUGGGGCGGAUAUAUCUUGGUGCUCAGGGGAACGGCCCUGUGAAGUGCAAGCGGCAACAACUCUGUCAAGACUGUCAUCGCAUAUCAUCUGUUAAUAAUAAACAAGUACCUUCAAUUCAUC